UACGGAGGGUGCAAGCGUUAUCCGGAUUCACUGGGUUUAAAGGGUGCGUAGGAGGGCAGGUAAGUCAGUGGUGAAAUCUCCGAGCUUAACUUGGAACUGCCGUUGAUACUAUCUGUCUUGAAUACCGUGGAGAUGAGCGGAAUAUGUCAUGUAGCGGUGAAAUGCUUAGAUAUGACAUAGAACACCAAUUGCGAAGGCAGCUCGUUACACGAAUAUUGACUCUGAGGCACGAAAAGCGUGGGGGAUCAAACAGG
rnacentral:rRNA from 1 species